GCGGUUGUGGCGGAAUUGGCAGACGCGCACGGUUGAGGGCCGUGUGCCGCAAGGCGUAUGGGUUCAAGUCCCAUCAACCGCACCA
rnacentral:tRNA from 1 species